CCAGCCCUUGAGUCAUGCGGUGGUGGCAAGCCCCAGGAGAGCAACCAGAGCCACACGGAAGGAUGUAUCCUCUGUGCAAGUUUCUCACAGCAUUUUUCUGUGGCAUCAUAUCUCAUGUUGGACAGUAAAACACUGUGCUGGAGAGGACACCAGUCAAUGCGCCAUGGACACUCUUGAAGGAAUAACAUCAAGGCUCAGAGCUAGACGGGCAUGGAUAUUCCUCUCUGCUUGGAAAGGGAAGAGAUGCCGCCCUCUUGGAACAAAUUACAGUUCCUGUAAUUUAAAACACAGCCCUGAGUACAAA